UACGAAGGGUGCAAGCGUUACUCGGAAUUACUGGGCGUAAAGCGUGCGUAGGCGGUUUGUUAAGUCUGAUGUGAAAGCCCUGGGCUCAACCUGGGAAUGGCAUUGGAUACUGGCAACCUAGAAUGUGGUAGAGGGUGGCGGAAUUCUCGGUGUAGAGGUGAAAUUCGUAGAUAUCGAGAGGAACACCGGUGGCGAAGGCGGCCUCUGGACGGCGCUGGACGCUGAGACGCGAAAGCGUGGGGAGCAAACAGG
rnacentral:rRNA from 1 species